GACGAACGCUGGCGGCGUGCUUAACACAUGCAAGUCGAACGGAAAGGCCCUGCUUUUGUGGGGUGCUCGAGUGGCGAACGGGUGAGUAACACGUGAGUAACCUGCCCUUGACUUUGGGAUAACUUCAGGAAACUGGGGCUAAUACCGGAUAGGAGCUCCUGCUGCAUGGUGGGGGUUGGAAAGUUUCGGCGGUUGGGGAUGGACUCGCGGCUUAUCAGCUUGUUGGUGGGGUAGUGGCUUACCAAGGCUUUGACGGGUAGCCGGCCUGAGAGGGUGACCGGCCACAUUGGGACUGAGAUACGGCCCAGACUCCUACGGGAGGCAGCAGUGGGGAAUAUUGCACAAUGGGCGGAAGCCUGAUGCAGCAACGCCGCGUGCGGGAUGACGGCCUUCGGGUUGUAAACCGCUUUCGCCUGUGACGAAGCGUGAGUGACGGUAAUGGGUAAAGAAGCACCGGCUAACUACGUGCCAGCAGCCGCGGUGAUACGUAGGGUGCGAGCGUUGUCCGGAUUUAUUGGGCGUAAAGGGCUCGUAGGUGGUUGAUCGCGUCGGAAGUGUAAUCUUGGGGCUUAACCCUGAGCGUGCUUUCGAUACGGGUUGACUUGAGGAAGGUAGGGGAGAAUGGAAUUCCUGGUGGAGCGGUGGAAUGCGCAGAUAUCAGGAGGAACACCAGUGGCGAAGGCGGUUCUCUGGGCCCUUCCUGACGCUGAGGAGCGAAAGCGUGGGGAGCGAACAGGCUUAGAUACCCUGGUAGUCCACGCUGUAAACGGUGGGUACUAGGUGUGGGGUCCAUUCCACGGGUUCCGUGCCGUAGCUAACGCUUUAAGUACCCCGCCUGGGGAGUACGGCCGCAAGGCUAAAACUCAAAGGAAUUGACGGGGCCCCGCACAAGCGGCGGAGCAUGCGGAUUAAUUCGAUGCAACGCGUAGAACCUUACCUGGGUUUGACAUGGAUCGGGAGUGCUCAGAGAUGGGUGUGCCUCUUUUGGGGUCGGUUCACAGGUGGUGCAUGGCUGUCGUCAGCUCGUGACGUGAGAUGUUGGGUUAAGUCCCGCAACGAGCGCAACCCUUGUUCACUGUUGCCAGCACGUUAUGGUGGGGACUCAGUGGAGACCGCCGGGGUCAACUCGGAGGAAGGUGGGGAUGACGUCAAGUCAUCAUGCCCCUUAUGUCCAGGGCUUCACGCAUGCUACAAUGGCUGGUACAGAGAGUGGCGAGCCUGUGAGGGUGAGCGAAUCUCGGAAAGCCGGUCUCAGUUCGGAUUGGGGUCUGCAACUCGACCUCAUGAAGUCGGAGUCGCUAGUAAUCGCAGAUCAGCAACGCUGCGGUGAAUACGUUCCCGGG
rnacentral:rRNA from 1 species